rnacentral:rRNA from 1 species
AGUGAACGCUGGCGGCAGGCCUAACACAUGCAAGUCGAACGGCAGCACAGCAGUAGCAAUACUGUGGGUGGCGAGUGGCGGACGGGUGAGGAAUACAUCGGAAUCUGCCUAGUCGUGGGGGGAUAACGUAGGGAAACUUACGCUAAUACCGCAUACGACCUACGGGUGAAAGCGGGGGAUCGCAAGACCUCGCGCGAUUAGAUGAGCCGAUGUCCGAUUAGCUAGUUGGCGGGGUAAUGGCCCACCAAGGCGACGAUCGGUAGCUGGUCUGAGAGGAUGAUCAGCCACACUGGAACUGAGACACGGUCCAGACUCCUACGGGAGGCAGCAGUGGGGAAUAUUGCGCAAUGGACGAAAGUCUGACGCAGCAACGCCGCGUGAGUGACGAAGGCCUUUGGGUUGUAAAGCUCUUUCGGCCGGGAAGAAGGGCAAGGGUGUUAAUAGUAUCCUUGUUUGAUGGUACCGGAAGAAGAAGCACCGGCUAACUUCGUGCCAGCAGCCG